rnacentral:rRNA from 1 species
UACAGAGGGUGCGAGCGUUGUCCGGAAUCACUGGGCGUAAAGGGCGCGUAGGUGGUGGCUUAAGCGUGCGGUGAAAGCUCGGGGCUCAACUCCGAGUCGGCCGUGCGAACUGGGCUCACUGGAGCAUAGUAGAGGCAGGUGGAAUUCCGGGUGUAGCGGUGGAAUGCGUAGAGAUCCGGAAGAACACCGGUGGCGAAGGCGGCCUGCUGGGCUGAUGGCUGACACUGAGGCGCGACAGCGUGGGGAGCAAACAGG